rnacentral:rRNA from 1 species
AGCGAACGCUGGCGGCAGGCCUAACACAUGCAAGUCGAACGGAUUCUUCGGGAUUAGUGGCGGACGGGUGAGUAACACGUGGGAACGUGCCCUUUGGUUCGGAACAACUCAGGGAAACUUGAGCUAAUACCGGAUGUGCCCUUCGGGGAAGGAUUAUCGCCAUUGGAGCGGCCCGCGUCUGAUUAGCUAGUUGGUGAGGUAAAGGCUCACCAAGGCGACGAUCAGUAGCUGGUCUGAGAGGAUGAUCAGCCACAUUGGGACUGAGACACGGCCCAAACUCCUACGGGAGGCAGCAGUGGGGAAUCUUGCGCAAUGGGCGAAAGCCUGACGCAGCCAUGCCGCGUGAAUGAUGAAGGUCUUAGGAUUGUAAAAUUCUUUCACCGGGGACGAUAAUGACGGUACCCGGAGAAGAAGCCCCGGCUAACUUCGUGCCAGCAGCCGCGGUAAGGUGCGCGAGU